rnacentral:rRNA from 1 species
UGGGGAAUAUUGCACAAUGGGCGGAAGCCUGAUGCAGCGACGCCGCGUGGGGGAUGAAGGCCUUCGGGUUGUAAACUCCUUUCGACAGGGACGAAGCUUUUGUGACGGUACCUGUAUAAGAAGCACCGGCUUACUACGUGCCAGCAGCCGCGGUAAUACGGAGGGUGCGAGCGUUGUCCGGAAUUACUGGGCGUAAAGAGCUCGUAGGUGGUUUGUCGGGUCGUCUGUGAAAUUCCGGGGCUUAACUCCGGGCGUGCAGGGGAUACGGGCUGACUUGGGUGGUGUAAGGGUGGCUGGAAUUCCUGGUGUAGGGGGGAAAUGCGAAACUAUCAGGAGGAACACCGAUGGCGAAGGGAGGUCUCUGGGCAGUAACUGACGCUGGGGGGCGAAAGCAUGGGUAGCGAACAGG